CCUACGGGAGGCUGCAGUAGGGAAUAUUGCUCAAUGGGGGAAACCCUGAAGCAGCAACGCCGCGUGGAGGAUGAAGGUUUUCGGAUUGUAAACUCCUUUUGUUAGAGAAGAUAAUGACGGUAUCUAACGAAUAAGCACCGGCUAACUCCGUGCCAGCAGCCGCGGUAAUACGGAGGGUGCAAGCGUUACUCGGAAUCACUGGGCGGAAAGAGCGCGUAGGCGGGAUAGCAAGUCAGAUGUGAAAUCCUAUGGCUUAACCAUAGAACUGCAGUUGAAACUGUUAUUCUAGAGUAUGGGAGAGGUAGGUGGAAUUCUUGGUGUAGGGGUAAAAUCCGUAGAGAUCAAGAGGAAUACUCAUUGCGAAGGCGACCUGCUAGAACAUAACUGACGCUGAUGCGCGAAAGCGUGGGGAGCAAACAGGAUUAGAUACCCUUGUAGUC
rnacentral:rRNA from 1 species